rnacentral:lncRNA from 1 species
AUCUAGUGUCUAAGCCAUCUUUUACUUUCAGCACAACAAUCUUUUUCAACACAUUUCCUUAUUGCUAUCCACUCUGAUGCUCUCAAUACACAGUGGAGGGGGAAAUACUAAAAUUUAUGUAAAUUUCUUUGGAUGAGAACUACAAAUAUGUAACAAAGAGGAAAACUUUAGGUCACUGCAUAUGGUGACAAAAACAUCUCAGGCUAGCUAUGAUAGCUCAUUUGGUAAAGUUCUGGCUUUGUUAAGUAUAGGGUUUAAGUGCCACAACCCACAUAACAGUGAAGUGUGGUGGCACAUGCUUAUAAUCCCAGCACUGGGAGGGCAGAGACAAGGAGGGGCUCUGCCUAGAUUCCCUAGAUGGCCAUCUAGCCUAGCCUACUUGGAGAGCUCCAGAUCACUGAGAAACUUGUCUCAAAAUCAAGCAGACUGUGACUAGGGAGCCUCCACAUGAAUACUUAUGCACACAUAAAUGAUCACAUACAUAGAAGACAGUUUUCUCUUACAGCAGAGGUAGAGUUAAUAUGGAAAAACUAACAAAAAUAUUACAAGGGCAAGCUCAAUCAAUGAACAGUUUCUAAAUGGAACUGUACUUUUAUUAUAUAUAAUAUUUAUCUUUGAAGCACUACAUUGCUUAGCUAAUCUGGCCUCAAACUGAUGGCCUCAAGCUAUCCUCACACGGCCUCCAGAGCAGCCGUUAUAACUUCUGGCAUUAUUGUAACUGGCUUCAAACGAAACUUAAGUAGCAAGAUACAGCUUGCUUGUAAAAUACUUAAAUUUAUACAAAGAAAAGUCAAAUGUGUUCAUAAAUAUAAUUCAAUGUUUUAAAAUAAAUAAGAACCUUUAUUUACCAGGGUUUAUUUGUUAUAUUCUACAAGGUUGAAAGUAAGGACUAGGGGCUGUGCUCGGUGGGUAGCGUGUUUGCCUAGUGCGUACAAAUCCUGGUUUGCUCAACCAUAUGAAAUGGAGCAUGCUGAUCCAACACCUAUAUUCCCAGCCUGUAAUCACAAGUUCAAGGUCAAAAGAGUGACUUUGAAGUCAGCCUAGGAUAUAUGAGAACCUAUUCUGAAAAAAAGAGACAUAAUAAAUUUGGCCUUCAAUGUUCUUCAUUUAUGAAAGAUAAAAUGUAGCAUGUAUACAUUAAGUUUGGACUAUAAAAAACUGGAGUUUUCACACUUUAUUCUGUAACUAAAAGUAAUCUGAUCAAAAUCAAUUGUUCAUUUGACAAUUUAUUUGAAAUUGUAUAUCCUAUUCAUUGUUAUGUAUUUCCCCUCAUAUUUUAUU